CGCACUGACACGGGGUGCCCCGCACCGCCUUCGGGCGAGGGGCUGAGAUCACACCCGCUGAACCUGAUCUAGUUCGUACUAGCGAAGGGAUGUCACUGCGAUGACGU
rnacentral:ncRNA from 2 species